UGGGGAAUAUUGGACAAUGGGCGCAAGCCUGAUCCAGCCAUGCCGCGUGAGUGAUGAAGGCCCUAGGGUUGUAAAGCUCUUUCGGCGGGGACGAUAAUGACGGUACCCGCAGAAGAAGCCCCGGCUAACUUCGUGCCAGCAGCCGCGGUAAUACGAAGGGGGCUAGCGUUGCUCGGAAUCACUGGGCGUAAAGGGCGCGUAGGCGGAUCUUUAAGUCGGGGGUGAAAGCCCAGGGCUCAACCCUGGAAUUGCCUUCGAUACUGAAGAUCUUGAGACCGGAAGAGGUAAGUGGAACUGCGAGUGUAGAGGUGAAAUUCGUAGAUAUUCGCAAGAACACCAGUGGCGAAGGCGGCUUACUGGUCCGGUUCUGACGCUGAGGCGCGAAAGCGUGGGGGAGACAAACGAGU
rnacentral:rRNA from 1 species